CGGAGGUACUCGAGUGGCGAACGGGUGAGUAACACGUGGGUGAUCUGCCCUGCACUCUGGGAUAAGCCUGGGAAACUGGGUCUAAUACCGGAUAGGACCGCACUUUAGUGUGUGUGGUGGAAAGUUUUUUCGGUGUAGGAUGAGCCCGCGGCCUAUCAGCUUGUUGGUGGGGUAAUGGCCUACCAAGGCGGCGACGGGUAGCCGGACUGAGAGGUUUGUCGGCCACAUUGGGACUGAGAUACGGCCCAG
rnacentral:rRNA from 1 species